rnacentral:rRNA from 1 species
ACUCCUACGGGAGGCAGCAGUAAGGAAUAUUGGUCAAUGGGCGCGAGCCUGAACCAGCCAUGCCGCGUGCAGGAAGACUGCCCUAUGGGUUGUAAACUGCUUUUAUAUGGGACUAACCACGCCUACGUGUAGGCGUCUGCAUGUACCAUACGAAUAAGCAUCGGCUAACUCCGUGCCAGCAGCCGCGGUAAUACGGAGGAUGCGAGCGUUAUCCGGAAUUAUUGGGUUUAAAGGGUGCGUAGGCUGACAAGUAAGUCAGUGGUGAAAUUCCCCGGCUCAACCGGGGGUGUGCCAUUGAUACUGUUUGUCUAGAGUGUAAGCGAAGUGGGCGGAAUGAGGAGUGUAGCGGUGAAAUGCAUAGAUAUUCCUCAGAACACCGAUAGCGAAGGCAGCUCACUAGUAUACAACUGACGCUGAGGCACGAAAGCGUGGGUAGCAAACAGGAUUAGAUACCCCGGUAGUCC